rnacentral:lncRNA from 1 species
CUGAUGCCCUAUGGCUGACCAGCAGAAGUGCCCCUUUUGGAGGAGACUACUGCCUUGAAAGGCACAGCUACACUCCUGCCCUGCUCUGGCAUUUCAGACCUUCGAGGAAGAGGAAGUGGGCAAAGAGGAAGAGGAAGGGAGCAGAGAAAAAGAGGAAAGGAGCAUAGAGAAAGAGAAACGGAGCAGAGAGAAAGAGAAACGGAGCAGAAAAGAAGAGGAAAGGAGCAGAGAGGAAGAGGAAAGGAGCAGAGAGGAAGAGAAACGGAGCAGAGAGGAAGAGAAACGGAGCAGAGAGGAAGAGGAAAGGAGCAGAGAGAAAGAGGAACGGAGCAGAGAGGAAGAGGACAGGGGCAGAGAGAAGACAUCUCGGGAGAUCCUGGCUGUUCUGAGCCAACUGCCGGAGAAGCACGAUGCUCUCCUGAAGCACAUCACUCAGCUGGAGGCCCAGUUGAAGUACCCAGCAUGCCCUGCAGCUUUUGAAAUGCCCCCCGAGCUGAAGUCACUGCUGGAACGGAUGGAGACAUUGCAAACUCAAAGCCAACAGGGAAAGGAAUCUCUGCAAGAGACCCUGGAGCAGAUGGAGAAGCUGAGGGAACAGUAUGAAAACCUGCAGCAGGGAGUGGAGAAGUUAUCCAGGAGCAGCACAGAGAUGCAGAUCAUACGCAACCUGUUGCAUCAGUUGGAUGUCAAGAAAGCCG